GACGAACGCUGGCGGCGUGCUUAACACAUGCAAGUCGAACGGGAAGGCCCUGCGUGGGUGGGGUGCUCGGGUGGCGAACGGGUGAGUAACACGUUAGUAACCUGCCCUUGACUUGGGGAUAACUGCAGGAAACUGGGGCUAAUACCGGAUAGGAGCUCCUGCUGCAUGGUGGGGGUUGGAAAGUUUCGGCGGUUGGGGAUGGAGUCGGGGCUGUUCAGCUUGUUGGAGGGGGAGUGGAUUACCAGGGCUUUGACGGGGAGCCGGCCUGGGGGGGUGACGGGCCACACUGGGACUGGGAUGCGGCCCAGACUCGUCCGGUAGGCAGCAGUGGGGAAUAGUGCACAAUGGGCGGAAGCCUGGUGCAGCAACGCAGCGUGCGGGAUGACGGCCUUCGGGUUGUAAACCGAUUUCGCCUGUGACGAAGAGUGAGUGACGGUAAUGGGUAAAGAAGCACCGGCUAACUCCGUG
rnacentral:rRNA from 1 species